CGCGGCCACAUCACACUGAAACAACGGUUCCUGGAUGAUCACUGAAGUUAAGCAACGUCGAGUCUGGUUAGUAUCUACAUGGGUGGCCGCUUGGGAAUACCAGUUGCUGUAA